rnacentral:rRNA from 1 species
GACGAACGCUGGCGGCAUGCCUAACACAUGCAAGUCGAACGAAACCUUCGGGCCUAGUGGCGCUCGGGUGCGUAACGCGUGGGAACCUGCCCUUAGGUUCGGAAUAACUCCCUGUAAGAGGUGCUCAUACCGGAUAAUGUCUUCGGACCAAGGAUCUAUCGCCUUUGGAUGGGCGCGCGUUGGAUUAGCCAGUUGGUAGUGUAAAAGCAUACCAAGGCGACGAUCCAUGGCUGGUCUGUGAGGAUGAUCAGCCACACUGGGACUGAGACACGGCCCAGACUGCGACGGGAGGCAGCAGUGUGGAAUAUUGGAGGAUGGACGAAAGUCUGAUCCAGCAACGCGGGGUGAGUGAGGAAGGGCUUAGGGUUGUAAAGCUGUUUUACCCGGGAUGAUAAUGACGGUACCGGGAGAAGAAGCUCCGGCUAACUCCGUG